CGCACAUGGGGGAGGUAACACGGGGAAACCCGGGUACGGCGUAAUAACCGCCAUGUGGUCAGAGAUGAAGAAAGCAGCAAUGCGCUGUGUGAGGGGCCUGUGUCCGAUUAGCUAGUUGGUGGGGUAAAGGCCUACCAAGGCGACGAUCGGUAGCUGGUCUGAGAGGAUGGUCAGCCACACUGGGACUGAGACACGGCCCAG
rnacentral:rRNA from 1 species